rnacentral:misc_RNA from 1 species
GAUGAAGAACGCAGCGAAAUGCGAUAAGUAAUGUGAAUUGCAGAAUUCAGUGAAUCAUCGAAUCUUUGAACGCACCUUGCACCCUUUGGCAUUCCGAAGGGUAUGCUCGUUUGAGUGUCAUUGUACUCUCACACUUCCAAUCUUUGGAUUGGGAGCGGUGGACUUGGGUGUUGCUGCUUACUGUGGCUCACCUCAAAUCGAUUCGUGCACCUCUUGGUUGGACAUAGUACGGCGUGAUAAGUGUCUUCGCCGGCACCUCAGUAGAGGGUGGCUGAUCAGGAGCUCUGUGCUUCAAACCGUCCUCGGACAACAACUGACAACUUGACCUCGAAUCGAGUAGGACUACCCGCUGAACUUAAGCAUAUCAAUAAGCGGAGGA